GGAAAACUCUGCCCCUACCGCAAAAUCUCUCUCUCUUUCCCUCCCCCACAAAGAGGCUCCCUUAUCUCUCACUUUACAUACCGGCCCUAGCCCUCCCGCCGCCCAGCUUCCCGCCCAGCAGUUCAAACUGACCAACAGUUGCCCACCACCUCGGCUUUUGGCUUCCCCACCCCCCAGCCCUUCAGCCCCCUAUAAAACAACCCUGCCCCUCUGAGCGGCGCGGCCAUUUUUCCUUUUCGUCCCGGCUGGUCCGCCCGGAGGCUCUUUCCUCUCAAUAAAGCCUGAACUUAAGGAAUUUCCUCUAGCCUGCGGUCCGGUUUUUUCCGAACGAGCUCAGUCUUCCCGCAGAGGGUAGGUCGGACAAAUGGUGCCGGAAACCCGGGACGGGAGCUGAGGCCGUUGGCCCGGCCACGGCCCCCCUCCCCGACCUACCCAACACUGGCCCUGCCACCUCCACGUUCCGAUUAAGCCGAAUUCCAGAUGCUGCAAACUCCCCAUCGCUGCACCCGAUGAGCUGCCUUCCUACCCAUUGCCGUUGGAGUCUCCCUUGCUGGUUCAGCACUUGCAGCAGGAUUAGGAGGAGGGGCACUAGUCCACUCUCACCUGGCCAUAGCCCGACUGACCUCACAACUCCAAGCGGCUAUUAAUGACUCUACUGAGUCUUUAGCAUCACUCCAAUGACAGAUCACCUCAGUUGCCCAAGUUGCCUUGCAGAACCGAAGAGCCCUGGACCUGCUCACUGCUGAACGAGGAGGGACCUGUAUCUUCCUACAAGAAGAGUGCUGUUACUACAUCAAUGAAUCCGGCCUAGUAGAAACCCGAAUCGAGAGCCUCCAGAAACUCAAAACUAACCUGUAGAGUCAGAAGUUCUCGGCUGAAGCCACAGCGUGGUGGUCUUCCUCUAUGUAUACCCUCUUGUCACCAUUGCUUGGGCCCCUAAUAGCCGUUUGCCUAAUCUUACUUAUUGCUCCUUGCUUUCUCCAGUUCCUACAGCGGCUCUUUCAAGAACUGACUGGAGUCACCAUCCACCAGAUGCUGCUCCAACCCCACCCUGAACGAGUGCAAGAAACAGACCUCUCCCCAAACCUCCAGGCUCCUUAGGAAAAGAAACCUCUUCAGAACCCCCCGUCGACCCUUGUCAGCAGGAAGUAGCCAGAGAGACAACCGACGCCCCUGACCCCCUCUUUUUCUUUUCUUUAAGGAGUCGGGAAUGUUUGGAAAACUCUGCCCCUACCGCAAAAUCUCUCUCUCUUUCCCUCCCCCACAAAGAGGCUCCCUUAUCUCUCACUUUACAUACCGGCCCUAGCCCUCCCGCCGCCCAGCUUCCCGCCCAGCAGUUCAAACUGACCAACAGUUGCCCACCACCUCGGCUUUUGGCUUCCCCACCCCCCAGCCCUUCAGCCCCCUAUAAAACAACCCUGCCCCUCUGAGCGGCGCGGCCAUUUUUCCUUUUCGUCCCGGCUGGUCCGCCCGGAGGCUCUUUCCUCUCAAUAAAGCCUGAACUUAAGGAA